CCGGAGUGGACGAACCUCUGGUGUUCCGGUUGUCACGCCAGUGGCAUUGCCGGGUAGCUAUGUUCGGAAAAGAUAACCGCUGAAAGCAUCUAAGCGGGAAACUUGCCUCAAGAUGAGAUCUCACUGGGAACUUGAUUCCCCUGAAGGGCCGUCGAAGACUACGACGUUGAUAGGCUGGGUGUGUAAGCGUUGUGAGGCGUUGAGCUAACCAGUACUAAUUGCCCGUGAGGCUUGACCAUAUAACACCCAAACA
rnacentral:rRNA from 1 species